ACACGGCCACGUCACCCACCUGGACCUGCUGGAGGUGCAGGACGACAAGCACCGCCACCGGCACCCCCUCGCCGAACACGCCGGGGCCCCCCCGGCAUCCCCCAGCCCCCGGCCGGCACUGGUGACGAGCUGGACGGAGCCACCACCCGCGGAGCCCCCCGGCGCUGGGGACACCCCCGCGCCCCCCCGGCGGGAGCUGAGCCUGCUGGGCAGGGUGCUGGGCCUGGAGCACUCGGGCAGCGACCACCCGCACCACGACUGCCUGAACGUGACGCAGCUGCUGGUGAACUUCGGGCUGGGCGCCGUGUCGCGGCUCACGCCGGAGCAGUUCACGCUCCUGUGCCCCGCGCUGCUCUACCAGAUCGACAGCCGCGUCUGCAUCCGCCACCGCGACGAGGUGACCAC
rnacentral:lncRNA from 1 species